GUUUUUUACCGUUUCGGCUAUUUCUUCACACUAGUAAUAACUGCUGAGUUCUCAUUGUUAAGCAGGUUUCUUUUGCUGCAAUGUAGUAAGUGUUCAACAGGGUUUAAGAUUGCAUUCCAGGGCAAUAUUCUUCUUUCAUUAGCAGAGCCAUCAGUACCUCGUAGCAAGAUUUCACCUAAAAUGUACCGUCCUUCCUUGCUCGCCAAGUGGAAGAAUCAGUUUCAUUUGAUAACUUGUUAGCUUCUGAUAGCUAAAAAAGGAACUAGGAUAUGAUUUCCAUUUUCCAGUCUUGGAAUGGCACCUGAACCUGAUGUUCUUUUCAUUUCCAAUUAUACAAUCUUCAAUUUAGGCCUCCUUGUCUAGUGCUUAACUGAUACCUGGUUAAAGGUUUGUCUCAGUAUAUUCUGCUGCAGUGGGCAAUCUUCCUAAAUUUGAUUUUCCCUCCAUAUUCAACUUUCAGCUUGACUAAAUUGUUGAAAUGUCCAGUUCCCUUGUGUUCAAACUUCAAAAUGGAAUUUGACUAUAUGAAUCGUCGAUAUUUCACCCAAGAUGAUGUUCUUAGCAGUCUAUGAAGUUGGAAUUAAGACCCACAAGUGAGAGAAAAAGUAAGAGAAAUUAGUUGAUUUCUUCUUAUCUGCUUAAGCUAGGGUGGAUGGUGGCAUGGUGCUACCCCGUAUCUAUACUGGCCGUGCAGGUAAAGAGUGGAAUAGUUGAUGUGCGUGCAAGUUGGUCAGAGUACCACUGUUAUCAAAAGAUGAAUCUUCAAUAUUCAUUUUGCCUAUUUGGACCCAUCUCAUUCCAAGACGUGCCUAGUUUCCAGUAUAUUUAGGAGAAACAAACUAGUUAAAUCACGAGUAGCACGUGGAACUAUCAGUAGUUCAUAUUACUACAGGAUGAAAAGCUCAAAUCAUGUUGAGUUGAAUUCAGGGUAAGCUAAUUUUGGUUCACACUUCACAGUAACUUGAACUUCCCUCGGGCCUCAGUUCAGCCAUGCUCCAUACACUCAGCUGAAUCCUAAUUUUAUGGGACAGAGGAUUGGGCUUUGAGUUACCUCAGUCAUUGUGAAGAUGUUUUCAACAGGGGCCUUACUUGAAUAUUCUCAAAAAUGUGUGCUUGAGGUUGACACCUUCUCGCGGAGAGGUUUAGUUUCCUUUCAACGGUGUAG
rnacentral:misc_RNA from 1 species